GGCGAGGUAGCUCAAUGGCAGAGCAGGGGACUCAUAAGCCCUUGGUUGAUGGUUCAAAUCCAUUCCUCGCCACCU
rnacentral:tRNA from 1 species